UACGUAGGCAGCGAGCGUUUGUUCGGAGUUACUGGGCGUAAAGCGUGCGUAGGCGGUGUCUUAAGUUUGUUGUGAAAUCUCCCGGCUUAACCGGGAGGGUGCGGCGAAUACUGAGAUGCUGGAGUGCGGGAGAGGUAAGCGGAAUUCCUGGUGUAGCGGUGAAAUGCGUAGAUAUCAGGAGGAACACCUGCGGUGUAGACGGCUUACUGGACCGUAACUGACGCUGAGGCACGAAAGCGUGGGUAGCAAACAGG
rnacentral:rRNA from 1 species